rnacentral:rRNA from 1 species
UGGGGAAUAUUGCACAAUGGAGGGAACUCUGAUGCAGCGACGCCGCGUGAACGAAGAAGGCUUUCGAGUCGUAAAGUUCUUUUAUAUGGGAAGAUAAUGACGGUACCAUAAGAAAAAGCCCCGGCUAACUACGUGCCAGCAGCCGCGGUAAUACGUAGGGGGCUAGCGUUGGCCGGAAUCACUGGGCGUAAAGGGUUCGCAGGCGGAAAUGCAAGUCAGGUGUAAAAGGCAGUAGCUUAACUACUGUAAGCAUUUGAAACUGCAUAUCUUGAGAAGAGUAGAGGUAAGUGGAAUUUUUAGUGUAGCGGUGAAAUGCGUAGAUAUUAAAAAGAAUACCGGUGGCGAAGGCGACUUACUGGGCUCAUUCUGACGCUGAGGAACGAAAGCGUGGGUAGCAAACAGG